GUUCACUGCCAUGUAGGCAGCUUAGAAA
rfam:Acinetobacter sp. ANC 4603 Contig3, whole genome shotgun sequence.